GCUCACUUCAGCAGCACAUAUACUGAUGCGAUACAGAGAAUAUUAGUGUGGCCCUUGCGCAAGGAUGACUUGCAAAUUCGUGAAGCGUUCCAUAUUUUU
rnacentral:snRNA from 1 species